rnacentral:rRNA from 1 species
UACGGAGGAUUCGAGCGUUAUCCGGAUUUAUUGGGUUUAAAGGGUGCGUAGGCGGCCUUUUAAGUCAGCGGUGAAAGUCUGGGGCUCAACCAUAGAAUUGCCGUUGAAACUGGGGGGCUUGAGUAUGUUUGAGGCAGGCGGAAUGCGUGGUGUAGCGGUGAAAUGCAUAGAUAUCGCGCAGAACCCCGAUUGCGAAGGCAGCCUGCCGGCCCCACACUGACGCUGAGGCACGAAAGCGUGGGGAGCAAAUAGG